GGUGACCCGUGGCCCCGUACCCACGAGUUUGGGUCCCCUGAGGCAUCUCUCCAGGCCUCUGCCUGAUUUGCCUGAGGUUGACUGUACAUACAAAUAUUGAGCAUUUCCUCCUGGCCUCCGUGAUAAACAGAAGUUUUGAUAUUGUUAGGCGAGAUGGAAAGAAAGUAUCAAGGAGUGAGCUGAAGCCACUGCCCUUGAGAACCCUCUCGAGGAGUCUGGCCUCAUGAAGAUGCCAGAAUAAAUGGCAGAAGAAAAAGAGCAAAGAUAAGAAGAGAAAAAGAGAAGAAGAUGAAGAAACCAGCUUGAUAUGAACGCAGCUGCUCACCAGCAACGGAACAAAGCUGGACGGAGAAUGACUUUGAAGAGCUGAGAGAAGAAGGCUUCAGAUGAUCAAAUUACUCUGAGCUACGGGAGGACAUUCAAACCAAAGGCAAAGAAGUUGAAAACUUUGAAAAAAAUAAAUAUACAUUUCUUAACGUGGAAUCUGGUGAACAGUAACAAACUUUGGUGAAAUUUCAGGAACCCUAGCCAUUGAAAUGGAUGAGGGAACCUAUAUACAUGCACUCGACAAUGGUCUUUUUACCCUGGGAGCUCCACACAAAGAAGGGGAAAAUGGCUUUGUUGGCCUCAAAUAGAUGCUUUAUUAGAUACAAUGAAGCAGGGGACAUAGAAGCAAAAAGUAAAACAGCAGAAGAAGAAAUGAUCA
rnacentral:lncRNA from 1 species